rnacentral:tRNA from 1 species
GGGCCAAUAGCUCAGUUGGUUAGAGCACUUCGUUUACACCGAAGGGGUCGGGGGUUCGAGUCCCUCUUGGCCCACCC